AUUCUACUCCCUCCGUUGCACAAUACAUGCCUUCUAUUUGUCAAAAUAUAUAUGUUUCUAGACAUGUUUUAGUAUAUAGGUACAUCCAUUUUUGGACAAAUGGAAGUCAAGUAUUUUGGAAUGGAGGGAGUACACA
rfam:Triticum aestivum genome assembly, contig: Triticum_aestivum_CS42_TGACv1_scaffold_408986_5BL